AACACUGGUUGUGCUGUAGCAACUUAGAACUGUUGUUUUAUGAGCUCCGGAUGCGCUUACAGGAAAUGAGGAAAUUGUUUAUUUGUUUAUAUGUUGAUUUGUAUGAAAAUGGGUAGUUAUUUGAUUGCAGACACAAGUACCUGCAGUGUGGAGGAACAUGUUCUGGCAAGUGCGUGGGCUCAUUAACGUGCACACACCAGGGAAAUUAACACAAAUGUGCAACGGGAUUUUGCAGUACGAUUCCAUAAAGAUGCUCCACCAGAGCAAAUGAUGUGAUAGCAACAGAAACUCUUCAGAACUGGAUCAAUUCGGGAUAGAAAUUGGGCAGGCCAACCAUCAGUUUGACAACAAAUGUGCAACAGUGGCGGAUUCUGUGACUAGAUCUCCCAUAAAAUUAUUGUGGAAAUGACUUUGCUGACACACAUGAAAAAAGAUGUGCAAUUUAAAUUUUUGAGGCUAACAUUCGUAAAUGAGUUGAGUGUUGAGGACAUGUGGCGAAGACCUAAAGCUUGCUCAGGAUUACUCGAUGUGUUUGUGGUGCUCCCACAGUGGGGCAAAGUUUUCUUCUCAGAUUAAUAUGCAAUUUGUCAAUCUUACUGGAAUAGAAGUAUAGUUUUCUGGAGCAUAUUAUGAAGAGUUAAAAAAUAAUCCCUCACAUGUUAUGACCUUGGCUCCUGUUCAGUAGGCACCUCAUGGGGCUGUAUUUCCUUGACAUUGCAGUUGAUUCAACAUUCUUACUUUCAAAUGUUGCAUGAAUGGUUUAUUCUAGCCCUGCAGAGACUGAACAUUCUUGUUGAUGGUAGGCUUCAACAAGAUUGAGCUCCUGCUCACUGUUCUGUCUGUGUUAGAGAAUUAUUGGAUGGAAUGCUAUCUCGCAGGUGGAUAAGGAGGUCACUGCAUCUGCCAGCACUGAUCAAGUGGACUCUGAGGAGUCCACAUCUGAAUUGACAGUUCCCUCUAGGAAAUAAUUAAGCAGCUUGUUGCAAAACAGUGAUUCCAGACUAUUACCGAUUUGAGGUGAGCUUCUGCAAAGGCAUUCCAGCAAAUCACAGUGCCUAUGCUUCAGAAAAUUUCACGCAGGACCUGGCGCUACAUCGUUUAGUGCCGUGACAGUGAUGGUGCCCAUACCAAUGUCUUAUCAGUAAACAAGCUGGAGCAUAAAACAUCAAUGUUUGUUACACAACUGUGAAAUGUUCAAAAUAAAUACAUAUACAUCAUGACCAAAAGAGAAGAGGGCUAGCAAGACUCCAACCAGACUGUAUGAAAUUAAAAUUGGUGCACGUUUCACACUUCAUAAAGAAGCUGAACUAUGAACUUCCAUAAGAUCACUUUUAAUGUAGGACAGUUUGCUUAUAAAAACUAAUUUGCAGAAGACUAUUCUGUUGAUUGUGUAAGCUGUUGAAGUAAAAAUUGUUUGCACAAAUUUAACUAACUUAUUUUCAGCAUUUGAAAAGAUGUGUAGUUCAAGGUGCAAAUCUUAGUAGUUUGUAAUUGAUUUUGAUUAUGGUGCACAAUACCAGCCAACUUAAUUUAAUAUGUGAUAGUAUAUUUAAAAAAUGAACGUGACAAAUGCAUUUAUCAGAAGAUGCACCAUAAUUUAUAGUUUGCUUGAAUGGCUUCCAGAGACAGAUAUGUGAAAAGCACUACUACAGUCUUUGUUUUCCAUGUGGCAGGCGGGUACUGAUGAACAAAACUUAUUGAAUUUCACUGAUAUGGCCCUUAAUAAAUGUAAUAGGCCUUCAGUGCCAGAGCAGGACCUUACCUAUGUUAAAAUUGAAGUCACAGUGUUAGUACUAGUGGAUCGGCUGGGAGAUGCUGUCUCUCAUUCUAGUUUUCCUCAAGUUCAAGGCAACAGCACAGUGAAUAUACAGAACUGCCCGAUUUGGGGUACUUGUAAACUUUGUGUUGUGCGUAAAGUGGCAUAGCUCGCGCCGCUUGUGACUUGUCCAGAAUUACAAUCGUCUUUAUUCAUGAUCCAUUCUUCUUUGAAGAGAAUACACCCAGAGGUCAUGUCAGGUGUACCGUGAUGCGUUAUUGAGACUUUGUACAGCAGCUGUGUGGAAACCAUUGUUUUCGUGCAAGAUGGGGCAACAUCUCGCGUCACUCGCCCAGUGACAGAGACUGAGACACACGUGUUCACCUUAAUAACCACGUUCUCUUGCUUGUGACUAGUUCAGAUACAUCAAGAGUUGGUAUUGCGUGAUUUACCCGUGUAUAUAUGGUCAAGUGAAACGUCAAACUUAAGAUCAAAAUUUGUGGUACCGCGACAGAGAUGUUCAAACAAGCAAUUGGUAGCUCAACAGCAGACCAGAUGAAACACUAUGAAGAAUAUUGCCAGCAUAUUGUAAUUUUCGUAUGUUAAGUAUUGAAAGUUGCGUAUGUACUACAUAAUUAUUUUGUGCAAGUGAAGAGGAAAUCAAGGUGGACAGCAUCAAACUAGUCUGAAGACUGUUCACCAAAACUUGAUUACUCUUUCUUACAAGGAUUACUGAGAGUUUUAUGAUGGCGGACACGAAAAAAAAAAUGCAGGCAGUACAUCAAAUCAACACUUGCCGAUGUGUCUCAUAUGUGAACAAGUAUUCAGUAACGAUGCCAUGAAGCCUUCGAAAAUGGAUGAUCACUUAUGAAGAGUACAUGUGGACAAAAAAAAUUGGCGUGGGACAUAAGAAGUGGCAGAAAAUCGCAUUGGACGCAGACUCUGUAACUGCACAUCCUUGUAUCAGCUUAAUGGAUCGGUUGGUGCCUGAUGUCCAAAUGAGGAUUUUUAAAUCUGGAACUGUACCCACAAAUUAAUGUUCAGAAGUGGCAUCACUGUUUCUUGGUACGACACGAAGUUUCUUCUGUACGUGAAGCUGGUGGAUCUUGCAGUCGUCAGAAGUUGCAAUAAGGCAAAGAUGGGGUACACAACCUACAGGAAGCUUUAUACAGUAUAGAUCUGUGAUAAGUUGCUAAAAAAUGUACACACUGUGCAAUUAUAGUUGUGGUCAUUCA